CGGGACACGUGGUAUCCUGUCUGAAUAUGGGGGGACCAUCCUCCAAGGCUAAAUACUCCUGACUGACCGAUAGUGAACCAGUACCGUGAGGGAAAGGCGAAAAGAACCCCGGCGAGGGGAGUGAAAAAGAACCUGAAACCGUGUACGUACAAGCAGUGGGAGCACGCUUAGGCGUGUGACUGCGUACCUUUUGUAUAAUGGGUCAGCGACUUAUAUUCUGUAGCAAGGUUAACCGAAUAGGGGAGCCGAAGGGAAACCGAGUCUUAACUGGGCGUUAAGUUGCAGGGUAUAGACCCGAAACCCGGUGAUCUAGCCAUGGGCAGGUUGAAGGUUGGGUAACACUAACUGGAGGACCGAACCGACUAAUGUUGAAAAAUUAGCGGAUGACUUGUGGCUGGGGGUGAAAGGCCAAUCAAACCGGGAGAUAGCUGGUUCUCCCCGAAAGCUAUUUAGGUAGCGCCUCGUGAAUUCAUCUCCGGGGGUAGAGCACUGUUUCGGCAAGGGGGUCAUCCCGACUUACCAACCCGAUGCAAACUGCGAAUACCGGAGAAUGUUAUCACGGGAGACACACGGCGGGUGCUAACGUCCGUCGUGAAGAGGGAAACAACCCAGACCGCCAGCUAAGGUCCCAAAGUCAUGGUUAAGUGGGAAACGAUGUGGGAAGGCCCAGACAGCCAGGAUGUUGGCUUAGAAGCAGCCAUCAUUUAAAGAAAGCGUAAUAGCUCACUGGUCGAGUCGGCCUGCGCGGAAGAUGUAACGGGGCUAAACCAUGCACCGAAGCUGCGGCAGCGACGCUGAUGCGUUGUUGGGUAGGGGAGCGUUCUGUAAGCCUGCGAAGGUGUGCUGUGAGGCAUGCUGGAGGUAUCAGAAGUGCGAAUGCUGACAUAAGUAACGAUAAAGCGGGUGAAAAGCCCGCUCGCCGGAAGACCAAGGGUUCCUGUCCAACGUUAAUCGGGGCAGGGUGAGUCGACCCCUAAGGCGAGGCCGAAAGGCGUAGUCGAUGGGAAACAGGUUAAUAUUCCUGUACUUGGUGUUACUGCGAAGGGGGGACGGAGAAGGCUAUGUUGGCCGGGCGACGGUUGUCCCGGUUUAAGCGUGUAGGCUGGUUUUCCAGGCAAAUCCGGAAAAUCAAGGCUGAGGCGUGAUGACGAGGCACUACGGUGCUGAAGCAACAAAUGCCCUGCUUCCAGGAAAAGCCUCUAAGCAUCAGGUAACAUCAAAUCGUACCCCAAACCGACACAGGUGGUCAGGUAGAGAAUACCAAGGCGCUUGAGAGAACUCGGGUGAAGGAACUAGGCAAAAUGGUGCCGUAACUUCGGGAGAAGGCACGCUGAUAUGUAGGUGAAGUCCCUCGCGGAUGGAGCUGAAAUCAGUCGAAGAUACCAGCUGGCUGCAACUGUUUAUUAAAAACACAGCACUGUGCAAACACGAAAGUGGACGUAUACGGUGUGACGCCUGCCCGGUGCCGGAAGGUUAAUUGAUGGGGUUAGCGCAAGCGAAGCUCUUGAUCGAAGCCCCGGUAAACGGCGGCCGUAACUAUAACGGUCCUAAGGUAGCGAAAUUCCUUGUCGGGUAAGUUCCGACCUGCACGAAUGGCGUAAUGAUGGCCAGGCUGUCUCCACCCGAGACUCAGUGAAAUUGAACUCGCUGUGAAGAUGCAGUGUACCCGCGGCAAGACGGAAAGACCCCGUGAACCUUUACUAUAGCUUGACACUGAACAUUGAGCCUUGAUGUGUAGGAUAGGUGGGAGGCUUUGAAGUGUGGACGCCAGUCUGCAUGGAGCCGACCUUGAAAUACCACCCUUUAAUGUUUGAUGUUCUAACGU
rnacentral:rRNA from 1 species